AGGAGUAAAAUAUAAGUCAGAAGUGACUUGUGCUGAAAUCGGAAUGAAAACAGAAGAUCUAGAAUUUUCUGUUGGAAACGGGACAGAUAAAUUAGCAGAAAAUGCACAGUCUCAGAAAAUUAUGAAAAUUGGAGGAUAAGUCAGAAAUAUUUUUAUGAGGCUAGAUUUAAAGUUUCAUAUUUUUCUGACACCCGUAGAGUGAGAAAUAAAAUCCGACAGUUAUCUGAUAAAGAUUACAGUUCGGUAUAGUUUUCGGUGACCAAAUGAGGUCGAAACUGGAAACUUAAAAUAUAUUCUUGGUCAGUACGUAAAAUUGAACAUGACUGUCAAGUUUGAGCUCAAACGGACGUUCAGAGAGCUCCGGCGAAAGUUAUCAGAUUUUAAGUUGCCUGGAGUGAAUAGUGUUGGGUGUUAAUGUAUAAAGAAGCUUUGCUUCUUCUUCUUCCUCCCAGCCGCACACACACAC
rnacentral:lncRNA from 1 species